rnacentral:rRNA from 1 species
GUGGGGAAUAUUGGACAAUGGGCGCAAGCCUGAUCCAGCAAUGCCGCGUGGGUGAAGAAGGCCUUCGGGUUGUAAAGCCCUUUUGUACGGGAAGAAAUCAUACGGGUUAAUACCCUGGGUGGAUGACGGUACCGUAAGAAUAAGCACCGGCUAACUUCGUGCCAGCAGCCGCGGUAAUACGAAGGGUGCAAGCGUUAAUCGGAAUUACUGGGCGUAAAGCGUGCGUAGGUGGUUGUUCAAGUCUGUCGUGAAAGCCCUGGGCUCAACCUGGGAAUGGCGAUGGAGACUGGGCGACUAGAGUGCGGUAGAGGAUGUCGGAAUUCCCGGUGUAGCGGUGAAAUGCGUAGAGAUCGGGAGGAACAUCCGUGGCGAAGGCGGCCAUCUGGACCAGCACUGACACUGAGGUGCGAAAGCGUGGGGAGCAAACAGGAUUAGAAACCCGUGUAGUCC